CCUACGGGGGGCAGCAGGCGCGAAAACUUUACAUGCAGGAAACUGUGAUAAGGGAACCCGAGUGCCCGUAAACGCGGGCUGUCCCGGUGUUUAAAACACAUCGGAAGAAAGGGCCGGGCAAGACCGGUGCCAGCCGCCGCGGUAAUACCGGCGGCUCGAGUGGUGACCACUUUUAUUGGGCUUAAAGCGUUCGUAGCUUGAUUUUUAAGUCUCUUGGGAAAUCUCACGGCUUAACUGUGAGGCGUCUAAGAGAUACUGGGAAUCUAGGGACCGGGAGAGGUAAGAGGUACUUCAGGGGUAGAAGUGAAAUUCUGUAAUCCUUGAGGGACCACCGAUGGCGAAGGCAUCUUACCAGAACGGCUUCGACAGUGAGGAACGAAAGCUGGGGGAGCGAACGGGAUUAGAUACCCCGGUAGUCCCAGCCGUAAACUAUGCGCGUUAGGUGUGCCUGUAACUACGAGUUACCGGGGUGCCGAAGUGAAAAACGUGAAACGUGCCGCCUGGGAGGUACGGUCGCAAGGCUGAAACUUAAAGGAAUUGGCGGGGGAGCACCACAACGGGUGGAGCCUGCGGUUUAAUUGGACUCAACGCCGGGCAGCUCACCGGAUAGGACAGCGGAAUGAUAGCCGGGCUGAAGACCUUGCUUGACCAGCUGAGAGGAGGUGCAUGGCCGUCGUCAGUUCGUACUGUGAAGCAUCCUGUUUAGUCAGGCAACGAGCGAGACCCACGCCAACAGUUGCUAGCAUGUUCUCCGGAAUGAUGAGGACACUGUUGGGACCGCCUCUGCUAAAGAGGAGGAAGGAAUGGGCAACGGUAGGUCAGCAUGCCCCGAAUUAUCCGGGCUACACGCGGGCUACAAUGGUCAGGACAAUGGGAAACGGCACUGAAAAGUGUAGUCAAUCUCCUAAACCUGUCCCAAGUUCGGAUUGUGGGCUGCAACUCGCCCACAUGAAGCUGGAAUCCGUAGUAAUCGCGUUUCAAAAUAGCGCGGUGAAUAAGUCCCUGCUCCUUGCACACACCGC
rnacentral:rRNA from 1 species